AGUGAACGCUGGCGGUAGGCCUAACACAUGCAAGUCGAACGGCAGCACAGUAAGAGCUUGCUCUUACGGGUGGCGAGUGGCGGACGGGUGAGGAAUACAUCGGAAUCUACUUUUUCGUGGGGGAUAACGUAGGGAAACUUACGCUAAUACCGCAUACGACCUACGGGUGAAAGCAGGGGAUCUUCGGACCUUGCGCGAUUGAAUGAGCCGAUGUCGGAUUAGCUAGUUGGCGGGGUAAAGGCCCACCAAGGCGACGAUCCGUAGCUGGUCUGAGUGGAUGGUCAGCCACACUGGAACUGAGACACGGUCCAGACUCCUACGGGAGGCAGCAGUGGGGAAUAUUGGACAAGGGGCGCAAGCCUGAUCCAGCCAUACCGCGUGGGUGAAGAAGGCCUUCGGGUUGUAAAUCCCUUUUGUUGGGAAAGAAAAGCAGCAGGUUAAUACCCCGCUGUUCUGACGGUACCCAAAGAAUAAGCACCGGCUAACUUCGUG
rnacentral:rRNA from 1 species